rnacentral:lncRNA from 1 species
UUGUUUUUUUUUAAAGAUUUAUUUUUGGCUUUUUUGCCUUUAUUAUUAGAUAGGACAGUAUUGAGACAGGAAGCGAAGUGGGAGAGAGAGAGAGGGGGGUAGGGAAAUGUUGUUGAGACGGGAUUCGAACUCGCGACGCCCUGACGUGCUAUUGCACCAUAUGUC